GCCGGGGUGGCGGAACUGGCAGACGCGCUACGUUGAGGUCGUAGUCCCUAAUUACGGGGGUGGAGGUUCGAGUCCUCUCUCCGGCACCA
rnacentral:tRNA from 1 species